UUUGGAAGCGCAGCCAGCGGGUGUCAGCCCGAACACCAUCCAGAAUCCUGUGUCUGUUUUGGGUCUUCCAUUUUGGAGCAUCGGGCUGUUUUGAGGAGAUAGUGCAUGUUUGUAUUUUCAACUGUACUUUUUUUUUGUUUUGUUUUGUUUAUCUGCCAUUUGGGGGAUUGGUGGCUGCACUACAGCUGAAAGUCACUGUUGGGAGACAGAAGGGCUUUGGCUGCUUUGGACUGUUGGGUUGGAGCAGAACACAGGAUGAUAAGGAAUGAGCUCCCCAGAGAGGACAGAAGAGACAGUAGAGUUUUGCAAAUGGAUGCGGAGGAAGUCCCGCAUGAGUUUAUAUACAUUGAUGAGGCUGGAUUUAACCUGACAACAGUGAGAAGAAGGGGAAGAAACAUCACAGGGCUAUUGUCAAUGUACCAGGGCAACGUUGGGGUAACAUUACCCUUUGUGCUGCCAUUAAACAGAAUGGGGUCCUCUACUGCCAUGCCAACUUGGGUCCUUGCAACACUGACCUCCUUCUUACAUUUUUAGACAGAUUACACAAUCUUAUCAUGGCAGCAAACCAAAGGGACCAGAUGCAAUACAUUGUUGUCUGGAACAAUGUAGCUUUCCAUCGUUCUGCUCUGGUCCAAAACUGGUUUCAUCAACACCCACAAUUUACAGUUGAAUACCUUCCACCAUCCUCCCCCUUCCUAAACCCCAUCGAGGAGUUCUUCUCAGCAUGGCGGUGGAAGGUUUAUGAUUUUCGGCCCUAUGUCCAGAUGGCCCUCAUUCAAGCUAUGGAGGAAGCAUGUGAUCAAAUUGAAACAGCAUCCAUACAAGGGUGGAUUCGUCACUCCAAAAGAUUCUUCCCACGUUGCCAUGCAAAUGAAAAUAUAGCCUGUGAUGUUGAUGAGGCCCAGUGGCCAGAUCCAAGAGAGAUUUUUGUUUUUUGGGGGGGGUUUUCGGUGCUGAACUGAAUAUGUAAUUUAUGUUAUAGUAUUGGUACGUUCAGUAAUACUGUAUGAAAACUGGAAAACUGUUUUGUUUGAAAUGUUCAGUAUUGACUGACUUGAGUAAAUGAAAAUAAAUAUUUUCAUUAGUCUGCACAAUUGGUGCCAUGUGGUGUUGGUGAAUUUAUUUUUCCACUUUCUCUGUUUAAAUGCUAAAAGUGUUUUAGGUUGAGCACAUGAGUGUUUGACUGAUUCAAACAGAAUCAGACCAUAUGAUGGUUGGAUUUAUGUUAUGACAACAAAAUAAGGUUUUUAAGACAUUGUAUAGUUUUGACAAAAGUGUUCCAUUUUGCAAAUCAUCUGAGAUGUUGUUCUACUUGUGUGAAGGGGUUUGAAAAACCGGGCAAAAUUGUGCUUAAGCAAUUGAAAAAAACUGUAAUGGAUGUUAAGGGAUGUUAAUGGGUGAUAAGGGGUUUUAAUAGAUGAUAAGGGAUAUUAAUGGAUGUUAAUGGAUAUAAAUGGAUGUUAAGGGAUAUUAAGGGAUGUUAAGGGAUAUGAAUGGAUGUUAAGGGAUAUUAAGGGAUGUUCAUGGAUGUUAAGGGAUAUGAAUGGAUGUUAAUGGAAGUUAAUGGAUGUUAUGGGAUGUUAAUGGAUGUUAUGGGAUGUUAAUGGAAGUUAAUGGAUGUUAUGAUAUGUUAAUGGAUGUUAUGAGAUGUUAAUGGAUGUUGAAGGAUAUUAAUGGAUGUUAAUGGAUGGGAAGGGAUAUUCAUGGAUCUUAAUGGAUGCGGGUGAAUGUUUUGGUGAAGUGGAAUUAUAAGUAUGUGAUGUUUGUUCUUCCCUUAGCAGUUGCUAAUGAACUCUGUUACCUAUUCAUUUAUCUAGUAGCCCUUUACUCUGCAAGGUAUUUUUAACUGUUUCAUAUUUAUAUGAUGAUAUGAUGUCUGUCUUUUGACUGGGGUCUCGUAUUUUAAACCAACAACUAUCAGGUAAUGACAAAGGUCAAAUUUAUAGACAGGUUGACAGUGUUAGUUUGAUCAAAUGUUGUAAGAAAACUAAAAAACAAUUGACUGCACUAGACCUAAUGUGGUUUGUCCUUUAAAUGCUCUGUCUGAUCUUAUGGGUUUUAAGAAACAGAAUACACUGCACUGAUUGGCUGAGAGGAUGGUCUAGAGCAGUGUCUCCCAACCUUUUUCAGUUACUGUACCUCCAAAAUGUUUUUGCACUGCUUUCAGUACCCAUGAAGUAUCCCCUCACGUUAAUUUCACUAGUAAGUCUAUGGUGUCAUGAGUGUUUUCAAGUCCUAGUACCCCUGGUUGGGAACCACUGGUCUAGAGCAUCUUUUUACAGGGAUGGGUGAACAUUUUGGUUCAAAGUCUACAUUGGGAUUUUGAAAUUCAACAACUGGCCACACUUUUAUUUUGUAAUUAACAGUUUAUUUGUCAAAAUUGUUUUGAGGGCCAUUUGAUGAUCAUUUCUACAUAUUUUUGAAUCAACUUUUAAAUGUUAAAGAGUGAACUGGUGUGUUUACACACAAUUUCAAUAUUUUAUUUUACUCUCAAACUUUCCAUGGUGAUUGAUUGGGCUUGUGGACCAGAUUUGACUGUUU
ensembl:lncRNA